CAGAAGCCCCAGGAGAAAGUCCAGAGUCACCUGAGGGUGCAGCCCCAGGGAGCUUCGCGCAGCCAGCUCUGCAGCCAGCACCUAAGGAGGUGCCCGCGGGAGGAGGAGGGGGCGUGUGGAGUGCUCCGGCUGGGUGGGCUGCCUGGGAAGGGACUUGCUGGACCUCCUGGGAAGGGGUGGCUGACCGAGUUUGUCACUGAUGGAGACACGGAUGUGUCCGCCAUGCACAGAUGGAGACUUGGCCAUCACUCAAUAGGGAGGCUUGAGGAUGGCAGUGUCAGCCUUGCUCAGCAGCAGGGACGGAGGCCCUAGGCUGUGGAGUGGCUUCCCUGCCUUGCCGUCUGCUCCCUGCACCCUUGCAGCUCCCACUGAGUGGGUAGAGACUGCUCGCCAGCCUUGGAGUCUAGGCUGGUGUGGGCUUGGACCCUUGGGAGACCUUCCAGCUUCCACUCUGUCUUGGAAGGAAUCCUGACAGCCCUCUGAGAACAAGCGCAGGCCAGCCUGCUGCGGGAUGAUUGUCAUCGGUCAGCCAACCUCCAGCCGCCAGAACAGGCCCCUCUGAGAUCAGCACAGCCUGGAUCAGGCUGGCAGCACUGCCUGGGUGGCCCUGGCUCGUGAGCAAGUGUAGACACGUAUUGCUUUUGUCCACCGCGUUUCCAGGCUGCUGGGUUUGUAGCAGCAGCUGACCCAUACGGCAUGGCCACCGCAAGAGGUCACACAGGUACCACUUGAAGCUGCGACACUUCAGCCUCUGACGCAGGGCCAGCCUCUCAGACACGUCCCCGAAGUCCACCCCUGGGUUCUGCAAGGCCAGAAGUAGGCAGGAGGGCACAGGUCUGAGGCAGAUGCUCCCGAGGGGAAGGACCCUGCCGGAGAGCAGCCCCGAGGGCCCUUGCUGCAGCCGGCUUGUCCACACCCACCCAGGCCCAGGACCCUCCUGCCUGAGAAGACGGCCCUGCUCACCUGGCCUUGGCUGCACAGCAUCAGCCUGACCUCUGGAGGGUGGAGACCGAGGUCGGCCAUGUCCAUGAGACCAGCCUGGUGAGGACCCUGGACACUGAGGCUCGGGGGCUCCUGGCUGGCCCCACCUGGCACGUAUUGUCACGCAUGGGUGCUGGAGCAUCAAGUCCCCGGGACCCCCCCGGGGGGGGGGACACCUGGGAGCUUGCACCCGGCCUCUCCUGGUCCCUGCCCAGGUGUCUCUUCCCUCUGCUGACUUUGACCCGUGUCCUCUGCUGUGAGAACCCACAUCCGAGUGCGGUGUCUGCGUCUUCCUGGGAUUGUGGGGCCUGAGGGGCUAUAGGGACCAGCGCCCUGACGGCCAGCCAGCCCUGAGGGAGCACCUGCCCCUGCCCAGGGACCCUCCAGGCUCAGGCCUUGUGGGGAGGGCAGAUGACUUGGCCUUCACGGCCUGGGCUUGAAUCCCGUCACCUUCUGGUGUGUGGUCCUGGGACAGUUCCCUACCUUCUGUGUGCCUCAGUUUCUCA